ACAAAUACACAAAUAUAAAUACGCGUCAUGGUAUACAUAUUAUAUAUAAGAUAAAAAUGUAGUACUACAUAUACAUUAUAUAUUGUAGCGUAGCGACGGUAAAACAAAAUAAUAUAAUAUACAAUAUAAUAAUGAAUAAAAAACGUAUAUAUACCAUAAGCUACACACGCAUGCGCGCGUCCACAUACAUAUUAAUGCAAGGCAUUUUGAAGACCAUCGUUGACUAUUUUGCGAAUACACUGUGAAUGGAUCACAAUGACAUUCAGGAAUACUAACAGAUAUCUGUUCUCUGCUUCCAUUCCCUGGUUAACAAAUCAUCAGUGAUUUUCUUUGACAUCUCGUAUGACGAAUUCGUAAAAUUACUGAGGUACAUCACCUUACUUUUCUAAAUACUGACGGCUUAAUAGGUUUCUUAGAUGACCGUAAUUACGGAUUCUGGUUGAAAGAUUAUCUAUAAAAAAAAAUGGCCUAAUUAACUAAGGUUGGAGAAAUUGUUGGAUUACAGUCCUCUAUGAUAUGACGAGGAUUCUCUAUGAGAGUAGCUUCUUCUUAAAGCAGUCCUAUUUAUUGUUCGUCGUUAUUCCAUGGAUGAUAUUUUCUAGAAAUGAUAGUAGUAAUGCUAUAGAUAUCUCCUCUUUAAAAUGCCUUGUGUUUAUAAGAAGAAAUUAAUGUAAUGACAUAAAACAAAUUAAAUUAUAUACAAUGAUUCAUGAAAAGAGAAGAAAAUGACAUUUAGAAUGCAUCACUACGCAUGUAUAAUACACUUACAUAUAUUAUACACAUAUUCUAUUAGAUAUCAGAAUGAGAAACCAACCAUUGUGAAGUGAUACACGAAUACAAUAUAAAUUAUAUGCAUACAAUGCCUAAAAUAGACCGCGACUAUAUGCAUAUGCGUAUGUAUAUAUGUUACCAUACAUGAUCAUAUUUAUAUAUUAUGUAUGAAAAGAGAAGAACAUGAAAAUAAAAUGAACAGUCGAUACUAGAAUUAUAUGCAUGAAAUAGUGUGCACAAUACACAUAUCCAUACGCAUAAUGAACUGUAGCAGGCGAUAAAAACUCGGCGAACAACACACGUAAAAGACAUUGUAAAACUGCAUUGCGUAUGGUAAAAAUAAACAUUUAGAAAAGUAAUUUAUAUGUCUCUUAUCAACAUUAUCCCGUUUUGUGAAAAAGCUCUUCUAUCGCGUGCACUCGUUCAGGCGACAAUUUUAAGCGGGAAACGCACAUGAUUAUAGGGAUUCUUGUCCUCUUUGAUAUUAUAUUACUUUGCUAAAGUUAUGUUUCGGAUAUCAUGUAAUGAAAACAUUUCAUUGAGUCACGUAGGAUCUAAGUAAAUUGAUUUAGAGUUGUUGAAAAUCUCAAAAUUUUACGACGUAAAUUCAAAGGGGUCUUCAGCCUCCUUUUUCAAGAUUUUUCGAGCGAAAAACUUUUUAUCUCAGAAUCUAUUCGUACCACCAUUUCUAGACUAGUUGCAAAGGGCCAGCAACAAAAAAAUUACGAAAGGAAGUCUUUUGCUUUUUGGCUGUAACUCUUGAUCCGUUAUCCGUAGCAAAUUUGGACUGCACGCAAUCGGUUUCUCGCAAAAUUCUGUAGAUGUGCAUCAAAUAAUUGUUUCCAGCAAUUUUUAAAGUCGCACAAAUUUUCAACAAAAAUCCAAAGGGGUUAGCCUUACUCUAUUUUUAUGCAAAAAAUCCUUCGUCUCAGAAUCAAUUUGUUUGACCCUUUUCAGAGUAAUAAAAUCCCGAGAAACAUAUAUUUAAAACUUAUAAUCUUACGAUUAAUUUCAAAACUAGCCGAGCAUUAGAAAAAUGUAAGGGAGUACGCUCGGAGCGUCCCUAUUAUUCUGUCACCGCAGAUAGCAACAUUGUAUCGUUCUUCAUUGAGCCACAAAAAAAGCCAUUUAUGGACUUGGAUUGGCUGACUAACCAGUGAGUAUGAAUAAUUUCAUUCAAACCUUAUUGAAUGGUAUAAAAACUUAAACCGCGUUUUUAUCGAACCUAUGCUUUUCAGAUCGGCAGCCACGAUAUCUCGAUAACACAUUGGCCAAUUGAGCUUAGAUUUUUUUAGACUGUUUUCCACGUUGGUAGCAGAAAUGAUUCUAAAUAAUAUUUCUGUUUUUUAUACAACUCCUAGAAUGGUCAGAAAUGGGAAAAAUUGAUAAUCAAAGUUUAGCCCUGUUAUAAAAUUUUUAUUUUCGUUUGCUGAAUCUGGUACCAACCAUACACAGUCAUACAAAUUAAGAAUAUGUUUGGUUUUUACCAGAUUCAUACAACGUUCGUUUGUUUUAUUUCUAUAUAUUCUUGAAAGAUCGAUAAAUAGGUGUACAAAACUUCAGAACGCAAACUCAAACAAUUUGAAAUCCAUUCCAUCCUAAAAAUCACCUCCAAAACAACUCUCCAGACAUCAAUAUCCCCUUAGGCGCCGCUGAACUGGCUUACAUUUUUACAUUCCGGACGUCACGAGCACUUACAGCGCCCCUAGAUGGUCAACGUUGAUCUAAAUGACAUGAUUCGAUUGGUUGGAACCACGGUAUAAGAAUAAGUUCGAAACAAAUGAACCAUAUAAUAUCUAUAAAGUAUAAAAAGAAACAUUAUUUAAAUAUUGGCAGGAGUUGUUGUGUUUGUCAUCGAUGUGCACAAGACGAAUGUGGGGAAGAUAUAGCUUUUUCACUGUUCCCAAAGCAAUUGAUCUGUACAAUAAAUGGAGAGAUGCAAUUGCUCUUACUGGGAUAGUUUUAAAAAAGACUCAAUAUAUUUGUCAAAAACAUUUCAACCCUGAUCAAAUACAGGAUCAAGUCACUAUCCGCGAUCAAUCUGGGAAGGUGUUGUUCCAAAAGUUUGCACAUACUGUGAUGUCUGUUGAUUGCAAUACCAUCCAACAAUGAGAAGAUAUUGCCCAAAUCAAUAAGUCAGCAGUGUGCAACGGAGGACCCUCUAGCCAUGCAGUACAGAAACGUAUAGCCAAGAUGUGCCUAUAAGGACAUGAGUAACAGAUGGCGACAGAACUCAUGUACAUUGACAAUUGGAACUGGUUCAACUUGUAAAUCGUGUGCAUCUCUUGAUAGUAUUUUGCGGAGGCAUUCGGCUAGCAAAGAAAGUUUUGAAAAGACAUGUUCAAGCUCAGGCUUUCAAAAAAAGUAGACGAAGGUUGUGUGGCAUAUCACAAGAAGUAAACAAAUUGCGUGACAAAUUAGCUCAUGUUGAGAAGAGUACAUUUGAAGAAAACUUGGGAAAAGUUGCAUCUUCCUGACGCUCAGAGCAACAACAUAUUACCCUUAUCAUCUCGAACGACUAUUCAUAAGCACCUCGGUUCCAUCUACCAGCAAUAGCUCAGCAUGAAAUUCUUCUGACUGAUGAAAUGAAAGUACAGGAAAGCAUUUCAAUCAAUGUAAAAUCUAUGACAUUUGAUGGACUCUGAAAUGGACAAAAAGAAGGUCAAGAAAGCGGCAUUUCAAAUGACUUGACAGAUUAUGCCUUAGUUUUUAUGUCUUCAUCCUUGGGGGGGGGGGGGGGGGGGGGGGAGUUUCACCAUUCAAUAGCCACAUUCCCUUGUAAAGGUUCUACAUCUCGGAGAAUACUUGCAUAGUUUGCCUUGAAAGCAAUUACAGAACUAGAAAAAGCAGGAGAAUAUGCAGAUAGUAUCAUUUGCGACGGUGCGACAACUAAUCGGAAGAUGUGGACAGAGUUUGGUGUUCAAGGAAACAUAGAUAAUGCCUGCCAUUUCUUUGAAAAUCCAAUGGAUGAACCUAGAAAAAUCUACAUAUUCUCGAAUACACCACAUUUGAUAAAAUGUGUGCGAAAUAGAUUACAGAUUAAUAAGAUUUUGAAGAUGGAUGGUAAUUUCAUUGAAUGACUGUAUAAAAACUUAUAUUACGAAAAUUGUAAGAACCGAGCCAAUCUCGGAGUGUGCUGAAAAGUAACUC